rnacentral:rRNA from 1 species
UGGGGAAUUUUGGACAAUGGGCGAAAGCCUGAUCCAGCAAUGCCGCGUGUGUGAAGAAGGCCUUCGGGUUGUAAAGCACUUUUGUCCGGAAAGAAAUCCUUGGCUCUAAUACAGUCGGGGGAUGACGGUACCGGAAGAAUAAGCACCGGCUAACUACGUGCCAGCAGCCGCGGUAAUACGUAGGGUGCAAGCGUUAAUCGGAAUUACUGGGCGUAAAGCGUGCGCAGGCGGUUUGCUAAGACCGAUGUGAAAUCCCCGGGCUAACCUGGGAACUGCAUUGGUGACUGGCAGGCUAGAGUAUGGCAGAGGGGGGUAGAAUUCCACGUGUAGCAGUGAAAUGCGUAGAGAUGUGGAGGAAUACCGAUGGCGAAGGCAGCCCCCUGGGCCAAUACUGACGCUCAUGCACGAAAGCGUGGGGAGCAAACAGGAUUAGAUACCCUGGUAGUCCACGCCCUAAACGAUGUCAACUAGUUGUUGGGGAUUCAUUUCCUUAGUAACGUAGCUAACGCGUGAAGUUGACCGCCUGGGGAGUA